CAAUAGCGUAUAUUAAAGUUGUUGCAGUUAAAAAGCUCGUAGUUGGAUUUGUGGCGUACGGUGUGUUCCGGGCACUUGUUGUCUGAGUAACCUGCUGUUGCCAUCCUUGGGUGGAACCUGUGUGGCAUUAGGUUGUCGUGCAGGGGAUGCCCAUCAUUUACUGUGAAAAAAUUAGAGUGUUCAAAGCAGGCUUAUGCCGUUGAAUAUAUUAGCAUGGAAUAAUGAGAUAGGACUUUUUUGCUAUUUUGUUGGUUUGCGCAAAGAGGUAAUGAUUAAUAGGGACAGUUGGGGGUAUUCGUAUUCCAUUGUCAGAGGUGAAAUUCUUGGAUUUUUGGAAGACGAACUACUGCGAAAGCAUUUACCAAGGAUGUUUUCCUUAA
rnacentral:rRNA from 1 species